rnacentral:rRNA from 1 species
GACGAACGCUGGCGGCGUGCUUAACACAUGCAAGUCGAACGGUGAAGCUCCAUCUUGCUGGAGUGGAUCAGUUGCGAACGGGUGAGUAACACGUGAGCAACCUGCCCCUGACUCUGGAAUAAUCGCUGUAAACGUCGUCUAAUACUGGAUACUAGAAGUGUCCGCAUGGGCACUUUCUGGAAAGUUUUUCGGUUGGGGAUGGGCUCGCGGCCUAUCAGCUUGUUGGUGAGGUAAUGGCUCACCAAGGCGCCUACGGGUAGCCGGCCGGAUAGGGGGACCGGACACACUGGGAAGGAGACAAGGCCCAGAAGCCGACGGGAAGAAGGAGUGGGGGAUAUUGCCCAAAGGGAGAAAGGCUGAUGCAGGGACGACGGGUGAGGGAUGACGGACUUCGGGUUGUAAACCUCUUUCAGCAGGGAAGAAGCGAAAGUGACGGUACCUGCAGAAGAAGCACCGGCUAACUACGUG